rnacentral:rRNA from 1 species
AUUGAACGCUGGCGGCAGGCCUAACACAUGCAAGUCGAGCGGGGUUUUCGGACCUAGCGGCGGACGGGUGAGUAAUGCGUAGGAAGCUACCCGAUAGAGGGGGAUACCAGUUGGAAACGACUGUUAAUACCGCAUAACGCCUACGGACCAAAGUGUGGGACCUUCGGGCCACAUGCUAUCGGAGGCGCCUACGUGGGAUUAGCUAGUUGGUGGGGUAAUGGCUCACCAAGGCGACGAUCCCUAGCUGGUUUGAGAGGAUGAUCAGCCACACUGGAACUGAGACACGGUCCAGACUCCUACGGGAGGCAGCAGUGGGGAAUAUUGGACAAUGGGCGCAAGCCUGAUCCAGCAAUGCCGCGUGUGUGAAGAAGGCCUUCGGGUUGUAAAGCACUUUCAGUAGGGAGGAAGAGUUGAGUGUUAAUAGUACUCAGCUUUGACGUUACCUACAGAAGAAGCACCGGCUAACUCUGUGCCAGCCGCCGCAGUAAGAC